rnacentral:rRNA from 1 species
UACGGGGGGAGCAAGCGUUGUUCGGAUUUACUGGGCGUAAAGGGCGCGUAGGCGGCCACCGCAAGUCGGUUGUGAAAUCUCUGGGCUUAACCCAGAAAGGUCAACCGAUACUGCGGGGCUAGAGUGCAGAAGGGGCAACUGGAAUUCUCGGUGUAGCGGUGAAAUGCGCAGAUAUCGGGAGGAACACCGGUGGCGAAGGCGGUUCUCUGGGCCUGACCUGACACUGAGGAGCGAAAGCGUGGGGAGCGAACAGG